GUGAAUCAUCGAAUUUUUGAACGCAAAUUGCACUCUCCUCGGAGAGUAUGACUGUUUGAGGGUCAGCCUCAAAAAAAUCGAAACCGUUGCUGUUCAGCGGUGACGUUAGUCUGAAAUUGGGUUAUUUUAAACCUUUUGGUGUAAGUGACUUAUAAUUUUCCUUUUGAUUCCAUGAACGUUUCUAAGAUUUAUUUCUUUAUACGUUUAAGGUAUCGCUUUUUAUUUGACGUG
rnacentral:misc_RNA from 1 species